rnacentral:sRNA from 13 species
UAUAAAUAUCUUGUAUAUUUAUAAUAUUGGCAGUGUGGUUCUUGCUGGCCCUGGGUGAACUCUGAGAUCCCGAAAGACGGAGAUUGAACCAAAAACAACUCUUUUUAUAAGAGUUGUUUUUUUA